UACGGAGGGUGCGAGCGUUGUCCGGAAUCACUGGGCGUAAAGGGCGCGUAGGCGGCUUUUUAAGGGUGCGGUGAAAGCCCGGGGCUUAACCCCGGGUCGGCCGUGCCGACUGAAAAGCUGGAGCACUGUAGAGGCAGGUGGAAUUCCGGGUGUAGCGGUGGAAUGCGUAGAGAUCCGGAAGAACACCAGUGGCGAAGGCGGCUCACUGGCCCGGUACUGACGCUGAGGUGCGAAAGCGUGGGGGAGCAAACAGG
rnacentral:rRNA from 1 species